UGGCGACUGGCGCACGGGUGAGUAACGCGUAUGCAACCUACCUUUAACAGGAGGAUAGCCCCGAGAAAUCGGGAUUAAUACUCCAUAUCAUUUAUGAAUCGCAUGGUUUAUAAAUAAAAGUUCCGACGGUUAAAGAUGGGCAUGCGUGACAUUAGCUAGUUGGUGAGGUAACGGCUCACCAAGGCAACGAUGUCUAGGGGUUCUGAGAGGAUUAUCCCCCACACUGGUACUGAGACACGGACCAGACUCCUACGGGAGGCAGCAGUGAGGAAUAUUGGUCAAUGGUCGCAAGACUGAACCAGCCAUGCCGCGUGCAGGAUGAAGGUUCUAUGAAUCGUAAACUGCUUUUCUAAGGGAAGAAACCUAUCCUCGUGAGGGUAGUUGCCGGUACUUUAGGAAUAAGCAUCGGCUAACUCCGUGCCAGCAGCCGCGGUAAUACGGAGGAUGCGAGCGUUAUCCGGAUUCAUUGGGUUUAAAGGGUGCGUAGGCGGAUCAUUAAGUCAGUGGUGAAAUCUUUCGGCUUAACUGGAAAAUUGCCAUUGAUACUGAUGAUCUUGAAUGCAGUUGAGGUAGGCGGAAUGUGUAAUGUAGCGGUGAAAUGCUUAGAUAUUACACAGAACACCGAUUGCGAAGGCAGCUUGCUAAACUGUGAUUGACGCUGAUGCACGAAAGCGUGGGGAUCAAACAGGAUUAGAUACCCUGGUAGUCCACGCUGUAAACGAUGAUUACUCGUUGUUUGCGAUAUACCGCAAGUGACUGAGCGAAAGCAUUAAGUAAUCCACCUGGGGAGUACGUUCGCAAGAAUG
rnacentral:rRNA from 1 species